UGGGGAAUAUUGGGCAAUGGGCGCAAGCCUGACCCAGCGACGCCGCGUGAGGGAAGAAGGUUUUCGGAUCGUAAACCUCUGUCAGGAGGGAAGAAAUGCUCUAUUUUGAAUAAAGAUAGGGUUUGACGGUACCUCCAGAGGAAGCACCGGCUAACUCCGUGCCAGCAGCCGCGGUAACACGGAGGGUGCAAGCGUUAUUCGGAAUUACUGGGCGUAAAGCGCGCGUAGGCGGCUUUUCAAGUCAGAUGUGAAAGCCCUCGGCUCAACCGAGGAAUUGCAUUUGAAACUGUUGAGCUAGAGUUCGGGAGAGGGUGGCGGAAUUCCCGGUGUAGGAGUGAAAUCCGUAGAUAUCGGGAGGAACACCAGAGGCGAAGGCGGCCACCUGGACCGAAACUGACGCUGAGGUGCGAAAGCGUGGGGAGCAAACA
rnacentral:rRNA from 1 species